AUACAUGCAAGUCGAGCGAAUGGAUUAAGAGCUUGCUCUUAUGAAGUUAGCGGCGGACGGGUGAGUAACACGUGGGUAACCUGCCCAUAAGACUGGGAUAACUCCGGGAAACCGGGGCUAAUACCGGAUAACAUUUUGAACCGCAUGGUUCGAAAUUGAAAGGCGGCUUCGGCUGUCACUUAUGGAUGGACCCGCGUCGCAUUAGCUAGUUGGUGAGGUAACGGCUCACCAAGGCAACGAUGCGUAGCCGACCUGAGAGGGUGAUCGGCCACACUGGGACUGAGACACGGCCCAGACUCCUACGGGAGGCAGCAGUAGGGAAUCUUCCGCAAUGGACGAAAGUCUGACGGAGCAACGCCGCGUGAGUGAUGAAGGCUUUCGGGUCGUAAAACUCUGUUGUUAGGGAAGAACAAGUGCUAGUUGAAUAAGCUGGCACCUUGACGGUACCUAACCAGAAAGCCACGGCUAACUACGUGCCAGCAGCCGCGGUAAUACGUAGGUGGCAAGCGUUAUCCGGAAUUAUUGGGCGUAAAGCGCGCGCAGGUGGUUUCUUAAGUCUGAUGUGAAAGCCCACGGCUCAACCGUGGAGGGUCAUUGGAAACUGGGAGACUUGAGUGCAGAAGAGGAAAGUGGAAUUCCAUGUGUAGCGGUGAAAUGCGUAGAGAUAUGGAGGAACACCAGUGGCGAAGGCGACUUUCUGGUCUGUAACUGACACUGAGGCGCGAAAUGCUGGAUCCC
rnacentral:rRNA from 1 species